AUGAGCCGCCGGAUCUCCCAGUGAGGAGGCCGGGGCCGCCGGAUCCGGUGACCCCGGUCUCCUCGCCGGUGGAUCCGGCGCCCAGA
rnacentral:miRNA from 17 species